GAUGAACGCUAGCGAUAGGCUUAACACAUGCAAGUCGAGGGGCAGCAUGGUCUUAGCUUGCUAAGACUGAUGGCGACCGGCGCACGGGUGCGUAACGCGUAUGCAACUUGCCUCACAGAGGGGGAUAACCCGUCGAAAGACGGACUAAUACCGCGUACACUUGGGAUAGGGCAUCCUGACCCAAGGAAAUGAAAUUCGCUGUGAGAUAGGCAUGCGUCCCAUUAGCUAGUUGGUGAGGUAACGGCUCACCAAGGCGACGAUGGGGAGGGGAGCUGAGAGGUUGAACCCCCACACUGGUACUGAGACACGGACCAGACUGCUACGGGAGGCAGCAGUGAGGAAUAUUGGUCAAUGGGCGAGAGCCUGAACCAGCCAAGUCGCGUGAAGGAUGACUGUCUUAUGGAUUGUAAACUUCUUUUAUACGGGAAUAACAAGAGUCACGUGUGGCUCCCUGCAUGUACCGUAUGAAUAAGCAUCGGCUAACUCCGUG
rnacentral:rRNA from 1 species